UUGGAAGCAGGGAGCAACCAGCUCGGCUUUCCGGCUUUCCGGGUUGGAGGAGCUCGCGUGCGGAAUGGGCUGGGGUGGGGAGCCCGGAGGCAGGAAGCCGCACGCAGUUGCCAGCAUCUGGAUGAGGGCAGACGCCGGGAGGAGGGGACCCGCAGUCGGAUCCCUGGGGCGACCAGGGGAAGGCCUUCUGGCUUGAGUGACAGUGUCACCCCUCCAGGGUCCCCUUGCCUGCUGCUGGACUCCUGGGUCUCUGUUCCUCCUCUGAAGCCUGAGCAGCCUCGCCACCUCCUUGCCCGAUAGACGACAGCAGAACUGACACCCUGGGACCUCUGAGGUUGGGUCGCAGAAUCGCAAUGUGGCUUCCACUCGUCUGCUGGGACCUCAUUCCUGGCGCUCUUAGCUACCAAGCCAGAAGUCCUCUGUGGGUGGAGGCCUCCAUGCCAUGAGGAAACCCAGGCCAUGUAAAUGGGCGCAUGUAAGUGCUCCUGUCAACAGCCCCCCCCCAGCUCACCGUCACCAUUGAUGGUCAGACAUGCCAGUGCACGAGCCCCCUGUGACUCCAGACCCCAGUGUAAACUCACCUGCACCACUGAGGCCCCACACAGCACAGAGCAGCUACAAGCUGUCCCCCCUGCACCUGCACAAAUGCCGGAACUACGGAGCCCAGGAGCAUAAUAAAAUGCUGUCCCUGGGCCUCAGUUUGUUCAUCUGGAAAAUGGGAGUACGGACUCCUCCCUGGUGCCCAGUAAAUGCAAGGAUUGAGCCUUAGGAGCACCCACGGCGACCCUGCCUGAGACUCGGCUCCUCACCUGCCAAAGGAGGAGAAUAAUCACUGGGAUGUCUCUUGCGGGGGCUGUGAGCCCUGGAGAUGGCCAGACUGGAAGGUUCCAGAGGGUUCCAGAGGGUUCCACCAGGAACAACGGGAACCCAGGCUGCCCAGGGAACGGCUCCAGCUCAGCCGCCCCAUCUGGAUGGCCCAACCUCGGACUCGGGGUCCCUGGGGCUCUGCUGCCCUCCAGUGGCCAGAGGCCCCCCGGGCACUUAGAACCUGCGAGCUUCUGGCUCCUUCCACCAGCAGCCGCCGCCCUAGGA